rnacentral:tRNA from 1 species
AAAACGAAAGUAACACACACUUGGCUUCGGCCCAAGAGAUGGCUCACGCCUCGUUUUG